AAACAGAUCCUUUUACUACUACUAUUCCACAGUUCCAUUCCACUACCCAUAGUAUUUCCCAAAACUCUAGGGUUUCCCAUAAACCUCACUCAGACAUCUCCAAUGGCGGCGUGCUACUAUUCCACAGUUCCACUACUCAUAUUUCCCAAAAAUCUAGUGUUUCCCAUAAGCCUCACUCAGACCUCUCCAAUGGCGUCCACAGCAAUCUCUCUUCCACUCGGAACCAAACUCAGACCAAUCACAAACCCCAGAGUCUUCUCACCAUCGUCGGGUUAAUCGUAAGAAUAAGGUGGUUUUGAAUGCCAUGGAUGGCUUCCGAGAGCAUCCAAGGACCCAAGGCCACAUGGCACCCCACCACCGAGUCCCGAGGAGCAUGAAAAGAAACAUCGAAAAGUGCUUGGGACUCCCAAAGCUGAGGGAAGAAGCAACAAAGAAAGGGGGUAGUUUGCCCAGCCACUACGAGUAGUGCAAAAUCGCACCAUCAAUAUUUAGAGACCGGAGGCCAAACUUUUGCAGCUACUAUAGGUAGUGCAAAUAAUCACUACCCGUAGUAAUUGGUUAGAGGCCAGAAAUUUGCUGUUACUAUAGGUAGUGCGAAAUUUCACUACCGGUCGUAGCUGGAAAAUUCUGCAGAUUUUGUGCCCGAUCCUUAUAACUUAGGGGUACUUUGGACUUUUGUAAAACGUUUUGUAAGGGGUAUGAAUAGGUUCUAACUCCAUUUUACCAGAUUAUCUCCCUUUUUACUUUCUCUCUCUCUAUCUCCCUCUCUUAGGGUUAGCUCUCAAUCCUCCAUGGAUGGAGCUUAGAUUUUUAUUCUCUUGUAAUUUCUUCAAGAAUCAUGCAAGUACUCUUCAUUUCGGUCAAUAUUCUAGUUUAAUUUCAUGUUUAUCUCCA